AGGAGGCUGGAUGGCGAACGCGU
rnacentral:piRNA from 1 species